ACAGAUGGACGCUUGCUUUUCGGCCAAGUGCCUUUGGUUGAAAUGGAUGGAAUGGUGCUGACACAGACUAGAGCCAUCCUCAGCUAUCUUGCUGCGAAGUACAACUUCUAUGGGAAGGACCUGAAGGAAAGAGUCAGAUUUUGAAUGACCAUGGAGAGGAUUUUCUUGUUGGCAACAAAUUCAGCCGGGCAGACAUACAGCUGUUAGAAGCUAUUUUAAUGGUGGAAGAACUCAAUGCUUCUGUUCUUUCUGACUUCCCUCUACUAAAGGCUUUUAAAACAAGAAAUCAGCAACAUCCCUACAAUUAAGAAGUUCCUGCAGCCUGGGAGUCAGAGGAAACCACCCCCUGAUACCCACUACGUUGACUGUGUCAGGAACAUAGUGCUGCUCUAAUGGCAGCAGGUUGCGUGAUGGCAAACGUUAUGAUCCAGUCGCAGCACCAGCAUGUGCUGUCUGCAGAGGAUAAUAGAAGCGAACUGUAGAUCCCAGGAGUAAAGUGUCUGAAAAGAACCAAACAAUGCUGCCAUUAACAGCAAUGCUGAUUAAAUGUAGUAUAAAACCA